CAGUAGCCACGGGAAUACGGAGGGGGCUAGCGUUGUUCGGAAUUACUGGGCGUAAAGCGCACGUAGGCGGUUAUUCAAGUCAGAGGUGAAAGCCCGGGGCUCAACCCCGGAACUGCCUUUGAAACUAGAUGACUAGAAUCUUGGAGAGGUCAGUGGAAUUCCGAGUGUAGAGGUGAAAUUCGUAGAUAUUCGGAAGAACACCAGUGGCGAAGGCGACUGACUGGACAAGUAUUGACGCUGAGGUGCGAAAGCGUGGGGAGCAAACAGGAUUAGAUACCCCAGUAGUCCCUGUCUCUUAUAC
rnacentral:rRNA from 1 species